AUCGCCCACUGCCUCGCUAAUUGGAACCUAAUGGAUCGUACACCGAGUAAGGAUGAAAGUGAAAAAAUAUAAAUUAAAUGGAUAUGCAAUUAAAUGGUUUAAUUGAAAAAUGGUCAAGAUUAAUUAAUUAGUUAAUUAAUUUAAUGAAAGGUUUGUAUUGGGCUUUUAAGUUGGUUUUGGGUUUUGGGGCCCAAAAGUGUUUUGGUCCACAAGGCCCAUUAUGUUCAAGUUGUAUGACAACUAAAACAAAAUG
rnacentral:lncRNA from 1 species